rnacentral:rRNA from 2 species
UCUAAACGACUCUCGGCAACGGAUAUCUCGGCUCUCGCAUCGAUGAAGAACGUAGCGAAAUGCGAUACUUGGUGUGAAUUGCAGAAUCCCGUGAACCAUCGAGUCUUUGAACGCAAGUUGCGCCCGACGCCUUCGGGCUGAGGGCACGCCUGCCUGGGCGUCAC